rnacentral:rRNA from 1 species
AGAGUUUUGAUCAUGGCUCAGAUUGAACGCUGGCGGCAGGCCUAACACAUGCAAGUCGAGCGGUAGCACAGAGAGCUUGCUCUCGGGUGACGAGCGGCGGACGGGUGAGUAAUGUCUGGGAAACUGCCUGAUGGAGGGGGAUAACUACUGGAAACGGUAGCUAAUACCGCAUAAUGUCGCAAGACCAAAGUGGGGGACCUUCGGGCCUCAUGCCAUCAGAUGUGCCCAGAUGGGAUUAGCUAGUAGGUGGGGUAACGGCUCACCUAGGCGACGAUCCCUAGCUGGUCUGAGAGGAUGACCAGCCACACUGGAACUGAGACACGGUCCAGACUCCUACGGGAGGCAGCAGUGGGGAAUAUUGCACAAUGGGCGCAAGCCUGAUGCAGCCAUGCCGCGUGUGUGAAGAAGGCCUUCGGGUUGUAAAGCACUUUCAGCGGGGAGGAAGGCGGUGAGGUUAAUAACCUCACCGAUUGACGUUACCCGCAGAAGAAGCACCGGCUAACUCCGUGCCAGCAGCCGCGGUAAUACGGAGGGUGCAAGCGUUAAUCGGAAUUACUGGGCGUAAAGCGCACGCAGGCGGUCUGUCAAGUCGGAUGUGAAAUCCCCGGGCUCAACCUGGGAACUGCAUUCGAAACUGGCAGGCUAGAGUCUUGUAGAGGGGGGUAGAAUUCCAGGUGUAGCGGUGAAAUGCGUAGAGAUCUGGAGGAAUACCGGUGGCGAAGGCGGCCCCCUGGACAAAGACUGACGCUCAGGUGCGAAAGCGUGGGGAGCAAACAGGAUUAGAUACCCUGGUAGUCCACGCCGUAAACGAUGUCGAUUUGGAGGUUGUGCCCUUGAGGCGUGGCUUCCGGAGCUAACGCGUUAAAUCGACCGCCUGGGGAGUACGGCCGCAAGGUUAAAACUCAAAUGAAUUGACGGGGGCCCGCACAAGCGGUGGAGCAUGUGGUUUAAUUCGAUGCAACGCGAAGAACCUUACCUGGUCUUGACAUCCACAGAACUUUCCAGAGAUGGAUUGGUGCCUUCGGGAACUGUGAGACAGGUGCUGCAUGGCUGUCGUCAGCUCGUGUUGUGAAAUGUUGGGUUAAGUCCCGCAACGAGCGCAACCCUUAUCCUUUGUUGCCAGCGGUUAGGCCGGGAACUCAAAGGAGACUGCCAGUGAUAAACUGGAGGAAGGUGGGGAUGACGUCAAGUCAUCAUGGCCCUUACGACCAGGGCUACACACGUGCUACAAUGGCAUAUACAAAGAGAAGCGACCUCGCGAGAGCAAGCGGACCUCAUAAAGUAUGUCGUAGUCCGGAUUGGAGUCUGCAACUCGACUCCAUGAAGUCGGAAUCGCUAGUAAUCGUAGAUCAGAAUGCUACGGUGAAUACGUUCCCGGGCCUUGUACACACCGCCCGUCACACCAUGGGAGUGGGUUGCAAAAGAAGUAGGUAGCUUAACCUUCGGGAGGGCGCUUACCACUUUGUGAUUCAUGACUGGGGUGAAGUCGUAACAAGGUAACCGUAGGGGAACCUGCGGUUGGAUCACCU